ensembl:piRNA 21ur-4650 ncRNA
UACUUGAUUGUAAAUCUAGAU